rnacentral:rRNA from 1 species
UACGUAGGGACCAAGCGUUGUCCGGAAUCAUUGGGCGUAAAGAGCGUGUAGGCGGCUUGUUAAGUCUUGCGUGAAAUCUCGGGGCUCAACCCCGAGCGGUCGUGAGAAACUGGCAGGCUAGAGUGCGGGAGAGGAGAGUGGAAUUCCUGGUGUAGCGGUGAAAUGCGCAGAUAUCAGGAAGAACACCCGUGGCGAAGGCGGCUCUCUGGGCAUUACCUGACGCUGAGGAGCGAAAGUGUGGGGAGCGAACAGG